rnacentral:rRNA from 1 species
ACGGACAAAGAGCAGCAAGUUCGCGAGGACAAGCAAAUCUCAUAAACCGUGGCUCAGUUCAGAUCGUAGGCUGCAACUCGCCUACGUGAAGGAGGAAUCGCUAGUAAUCGCAGGUCAGCAUACUGCGGUGAAUACGUUCCCGGGCCUUGUACACACCGCCCGUCACACCAUGGAAGUUGGCCACGCCCGAAGCCGUUACUCCAACCCUCGGGAGGAGGACGUCGAAGGUGGGGCUGAUGACUGGGGUGAAGUCGUAACAAGGUAGCCGUACCGGAAGGUGCGGCUGGAUCACCUCCUAA